AGAUACUUACAGGACUGGAGCCUGGAGCAGUUGAUGUGUUUCUUGAUUUCAUUUACUACUCAGGUGAUCCUCUACCUGACGAACUGCUCACCCAAGUUAAGGGAAUUCAUGUUUCAGAGGACUUUGUUGCCAAGCAAUUGAGGUCCAUGAUUUCUGAUAUGUAGGUUGAUGUGGUCACUCAGGUUGGCAGCUGGUAUACAAGAAGUCAAAGUUGAAAUGGUAAAUGGUUUCCUUUAUUCGCUCCAUUUUUAUACAUGCAAAUUGAUUUUCACAUUCUGUCCUUCAUUUGAUAUGAUUGUGUGCCAGAAAAUGAUGCCCAUCCCAAGCAUUACAACAAAUAUGAUGUUGAAUUGU